GUAGUUGUAGCCAAGUGGUUAAGGUGCUGGACUAGAAAUCAAUUGGGGUCCUCCUGCACAGGUUUGAAUCCUGUCAACUACA